rnacentral:rRNA from 1 species
AAUCAAGUGGAGGACAAGUCUGGUGCCAGCACCCGCGGUAAUUCCAGCUCCACUAGCGUAUAUUAAAGUUGUUGCAGUUAAAAAGCUCGUAGUUGAACCUCUGUCUGGGGCUAGUUUUGGCUUUGGUCAGGCUAGUUCUAGGCAUCCGCCUACAAGACUUAGAGGGCAUUCAGUUGUUCACUAGGAGGAGUAGGCAUUUUACUUUGAAAAAAUUAGAGUGUUUAAGGCAGGCAAUCGCCCGCAUAUAUUAGCAUGGAAUAAUAGAAUAGGACACUUUUCCAUUUCGUUGGUUAUUGGAAUCGUGUAAUGAUUAAUAGGGACAGUUGUGGGCAUUUGUAUUUAAUUGUCAGAGGUGAAAUUCUUGGAUUUAUUAAAGACAAACUAACGCGAAAGCAUUUGCCAAGGAUGUUUUCAUUAAUCAAGAACGAAAGUUAGGGGAUCAAAGACGAUCAGAUACCGUCCUAGUCUUAACUAUAAACUAUUCCGACUCAAUGUUUGACUGGCUUAUAUAACCAGUUGAGCGUUGUAUGAGAAAUCAAAGUCUUUAGGUUCUGGGGGGAGUAUGGUUGCAAAGCUGAAACUUAAAGGAAUUGACGGAAGAGCACAACCAGGAGUGGAUUCUGCGGCUUAAUUUGACUCAACACGGGGAAACUUACCAGGUUAAAACAAUAGUGGGAUUGACAGUUUGAGAGCGCUUUCUUGAUUGGUUGGGUGGUGGUGCAUGGCCGUUCUUAGUUGGUGGAGUGAUUUGUCUGCUUAAUUGCGUUAACGAACGAGACCUUAACCUGCUUACUAGACUGGCGAUCAUCAAUCGUUAGCUCUUCUUAGAGGGACUUUGGUUGUUUUAACUCCAAGGAAGUUUGAGGCAAUAACAGGUCUGUGAUGCCCUUAGAUAUCCUGGGCCGCACGCGUCAUACAAUGACUAGUUCAGAAAGUUUUCUCCUGACCCGAAAGGGGAUGGGUAAUCUUGAUAAUACUAGUCGUGUUAGGGAUCGAUCUUUGCAAUUAUAGAUCUUGAACGAGGAAUUCCUAGUAAGUGCGGUUCAUCAGACCGUACUGAUUACGUCCCUGCUCUUUGUACACACCGCCCGUCGCUUCUACCGAGUGGGUGGUCCGGUGAGAUAAUUGAACUUCGCAGGUAACUGAGAGGAAAGAUUAUCAAACCUAUCCACCU